UACGUAGGGCGCAAGCGUUGUCCGGAAUUAUUGGGCGUAAAGAGCUCGUAGGCGGCUUGUCACGUCGGGUGUGAAAGCCCGGGGCUUAACCCCGGGUCUGCAUUCGAUACGGGCUAGCUAGAGUGUGGUAGGGGAGACCGGAAUUCCUGGUGUAGCGGUGAAAUGCGCAGAUAUCAGGAGGAACACCGGUGGCGAAGGCGGAUCUCUGGGCCAUUACUGACGCUGAGGAGCGAAAGCGUGGGGAGCGAACAGG
rnacentral:rRNA from 1 species